rnacentral:rRNA from 1 species
UACGUAGGGUGCAAGCGUUAAUCGGAAUUACUGGGCGUAAAGCGUGCGCAGGCGGUUUUGUAAGUCUGUCGUGAAAUCCCCGGGCUCAACCUGGGAAUUGCGAUGGAGACUGCAAGGCUAGAAUCUGGCAGAGGGGGUAGAAUUCCACGUGUAGCAGUGAAAUGCGUAGAGAUGCGGAGGAACACCGAUGGCGAAGGCAGCCCCCUGGGCUAGCACUGACGCUCAGGCACGAAAGCGUGGGGAGCAACAGGG